UACGUAGGGGGCAAGCGUUGUCCGGAAUCAUUGGGCGUAAAGCGCGCGUAGGUGGCCCGGUAAGUCCGCUCUGAAAGUCAAAGGCUCAACCUUUGAAAGCGGGUGGAUACUGCCGGGCUAGAGUCCGGAAGAGGCGAGUGGAAUUCCUGGUGUAGCGGUGGAAUGCGCAGAUAUCAGGAGGAACACCAAUGGCGAAGGCAGCUCACUGGGACGGUACUGACGCUGAGGAGCGAAAGCGUGGGGAGCGAACAGG
rnacentral:rRNA from 1 species